GACGAACGCUGGCGGCGUGCUUAACACAUGCAAGUCGAGCGGAAAGGCCACUUCGGAGGUACUCGAGCGGCGAACGGGUGAGUAACACGUGAGUAAUCUGCCCUUGGCUUUGGGAUAGCCACCGGAAACGGUGAUUAAUACAGGAUACGACCACUUCUCGCAUGGGAUGGUGGUGGAAAGCUUUUUCGGCCAGGGAUGUGCUCGCGGCCUAUCAGCUUGAUGGUGAGGGAAUGGCUCACCAUGGCUUCGACGGGUAGCCGGCCUGAGAGGGUGAACGGUCAGACGUGGACUGAGGCACGGCCCAGACUCCUGCAGGAGGCAGCAGUGCGCAAUAUUGGACAAUGGGCGGCAGCCUGAUCCAGCAACGCCGCGUGAGGGAUGACUGCCUUAGGGUUGUAAACCUCUUUCAGCAGGGACGAAGCGCAAGUGACGGUACCUGCAGAAGAAGCACCGGCCAACUACGUGCCAGCCGCCGCCGUAAGAC
rnacentral:rRNA from 1 species